AGCAGUAGCGCGGUAAUACGGAGGAUCCAAGCGUUAUCCGGAAUCAUUGGGUUUAAAGGGUCCGUAGGCGGUCUUGUAAGUCAGUGGUGAAAGCCCAUCGCUCAACGGUGGAACGGCCAUUGAUACUGCAGGACUUGAAUUAUUGGGAAGUAACUAGAAUAUGUAGUGUAGCGGUGAAAUGCUUAGAGAUUACAUGGAAUACCAAUUGCGAAGGCAGGUUACUACCAAUUGAUUGACGCUGAUGGACGAAAGCGUGGGUAGCGAACAGGAUUAGAUACCCGAGUAGUCCCUGUCUCUUAUACA
rnacentral:rRNA from 1 species